rnacentral:rRNA from 1 species
UUGAACGCUGGCGGCAGGCCUAACACAUGCAUGUCGAGCGGAUGAAGGGAGCUUGCUCCUGGAUUCAGCGGCGGACGGGUGAGUAAUGCCUAGGAAUCUGCCUGGUCGUGGGGGAUAACGUCCGGAAACGGGCGCUAAUACCGCAUACGUCCUGAGGGAGAAAGUGGGGGAUCUUCGGACCUCACGCUAUCAGAUGAGCCUAGGUCGGAUUAGCUAGUUGGUGGGGUAAAGGCCUACCAAGGCGACGAUCCGUAACUGGUCUGAGAGGAUGAUCAGUCACACUGGAACUGAGACACGGUCCAGACUCCUACGGGAGGCAGCAGUGGGGAAUAUUGGACAAUGGGCGAAAGCCUGAUCCAGCCAUGCCGCGUGUGUGAAGAAGGUCUUCGGAUUGUAAAGCACUUUAAGUUGGGAGGAAGGGCAGUAAGUUAAUACCUUGCUGUUUUGACGUUACCAACAGAAUAAGCACCGGCUAACUUCGUG